rnacentral:rRNA from 1 species
AUUGAACGCUGGCGGCAGGCCUAACACAUGCAAGUCGAGCGAGCGGCGGACGGGUGAGUGAUGUCUGGGAAACUGCCUGCUGGAGGGGGAUAACUACUGGAAACGGUAGCUAAUACCGCAUACCAUCUGAUUUGCCCAGAUUGGGUUAGCUAGUAGGUGGGGUAACGGCUCACCUAGGCGACGAUCCCUAGCUGGUCUGAGAGGAUGACCAGCCACACUGGAACUGAGACACGGUCCAGACUCCUACGGGAGGCAGCAGUGGGGAAUAUUGCACAAUGGGCGCAAGCCUGAUGUAGCCAUGCCGCGUGUGUGAAGAAGGCCUUCGGGUUGUAAAGCACUUUCAGCGGGGAGGCGUUACCCGCAGAAGAAGCACCGGCUAACUCCGUGCGAGCAGCCGCGGUAAUAC